CACAGAGACUGCAAGCGUUAUUCGGAUUUACUGGGCGUAAAGGGCGCGUAGGCGGCCUGCUAAGUCGAACGUGAAAUCCCUGGGCUCAACCCAGGAACUGCGUCCGAUACUGGUUGGCUUGAAUCCGGGAGAGGGAUGUGGAAUUCCAGGUGUAGCGGUGAAAUGCGUAGAUAUCUGGAGGAACACCGGUGGCGAAGGCGACAUCCUGGACCGGUAUUGACGCUGAGGCGCGAAAGCCAGGGGAGCAAACGGG
rnacentral:rRNA from 1 species